rnacentral:rRNA from 1 species
UUGGUGAAGUGGAUGAUCCUAUGCUGCCGAGAAAAGCCUCUAGUGAGUGUUGUGGCGGCCCGUACCCUAGACCGACUCAGGUGGUCAGGUAGAGAAUACCAAGGCGAUCGGGUGAACUGUGGUUAAGGAACUCGGCAAAUUGCCCCCAUAACUUCGGGAGAAGGGGGACCUCUGCUGGUGAUGGGCUUUACGUUCUGAGCUGGUGGGGGUCGCAGUGGCCAGGGGGAAGCGACUGUUUACUAAAAACACAGGUCCGUGCGAAGUCGUAAGACGAUGUAUACGGACUGACGCCUGCCCGGUGCCGGAACGUUAAGGGGACCGCUUAGCCAACGCGAGUUGGCGAAGGUGAGAACUUAAGCGCCGGUAAACGGCGGUGGUAACUAUAACCAUCCUAAGGUAGCGAAAUUCCUUGUCGGGUAAGUUCCGACCUGCACGAAUGGUGUAACGACUUCCCCGCUGUCUCAACCACAGACCCGGCGAAAUUGCACUACGAGUAAAGAUGCCCGUUUCGCGCAGCAGGACGGAAAGACCCCGGGACCUUCACUACAGCUUGACAUUGGCGUUUGGAACGUCUUGUGUAGGAUAGGUGGGAGACUGGGAAGCUGUCACGCUAGUGAUGGUGGAGUCAUUGGUGAAAUACCACUCUGGUCGUUUUGAACGUCUAACUCUGGUCCGUGAUCCGGAUCGGGGACAGUGUCUGGUGGGUAGUUUAACUGGGGCGGUUGCCUCCUAAAGAGUAACGGAGGCGCCCAAAGGUUCCCUCAGCCUGGUUGGCAAUCAGGUGUUGAGUGUAAGUGCACAAGGGAGCUUGACUGUGAGACUGACAGGUCGAGCAGGAGCGAAAGCUGGGACUAGUGAUCCGGCAUCGGCGUGUGGAAGCGGUGUCGCUCAACGGCUAAAAGGUACCCCGGGGAUAACAGGCUGAUCUUCCCCAAGAGUCCAUAUCGACGGGAUGGUUUGGCACCUCGAUGUCGGCUCGUCGCAUCCUGGGGCUGGAGUAGGUCCCAAGGGUUGGGCUGUUCGCCCAUUAAAGCGGUACGCGAGCUGGGUUUAGAACGUCGCGAGACAGUUCGGUCCCUAUCCGCUGCGCGCGCAGGAGACUUGAAAGGGGCUGUCCCUAGUACGAGAGGACCGGGACGGACGAACCUCUGGUGUGCCAGUUGUACCGCCAGGUGCACGGCUGGUUGGCUACGUUCGGAAGGGAUAACCGCUGAAAGCAUCUAAGCGGGAAGCUCGCCUUGAGAUGAGGUCUCCCACCCCGUGAGGGGGUAAGGCUCCCGGUAGAUCACCGGGUUGAUAGGCCGGAGGUGGAAGCACGGUAACGUGUGGAGCUGACCGGUACUAAUAGGCCGAGGACUUGACC